UGGGGAAUAUUGCACAAUGGGCGAAAGCCUGAUGCAGCGACGCCGCGUGAGGGAUGACGGCCUUCGGGUUGUAAACCUCUUUCAGCAGGGAAGAAGCGAAAGUGACGGUACCUGCAGAAGAAGCACCGGCUAACUACGUGCCAGCAGCCGCGGUAAUACGUAGGGUGCGAGCGUUGUCCGGAAUUAUUGGGCGUAAAGAGCUUGUAGGCGGUUUGUCGCGUCUGCUGUGAAAAUCCGGGGCUCAACCCCGGACUUGCAGUGGGUACGGGCAGACUAGAGUGUGGUAGGGGAGACUGGAAUUCCUGGUGUAGCGGUGAAAUGCGCAGAUAUCAGGAGGAACACCGAUGGCGAAGGCAGGUCUCUGGGCCACUACUGACGCUGAGAAGCGAAAGCAUGGGGAGCGAACA
rnacentral:rRNA from 1 species